rnacentral:rRNA from 1 species
UACGGGGGGGGCAAGCGUUGUUCGGAUUUACUGGGCGUAAAGGGCGCGUAGGCGGCGUGACAAGUCACUUGUGAAAUCUCCGGGCUUAACUCGGAACUGCCAAGUGAUACUGUCGUGCUAGAGUGCAGAAGGGGCAAUCGGAAUUCUUGGUGUAGCGGUGAAAUGCGUAGAUAUCAAGAGGAACACCAGAGGCGAAGGCGGAUUGCUGGGCUGACACUGACGCUGAGGCGCGAAAGCUAGGGUAGCAAACGGG